UCCUAAAUUUAUGUUGAUUAGUGGAUAUGGUAUGGGUAGUGGGAUUCAUAUGGUUAGGGCUAGGGUGAGGGCUAGGAUUGGUGCAAUGAUAAAUAUGGAUGUUGAUGAUGUUAGUGGUUGUAGUGGUUCUUUAAGGAAUAGUUUGAGGGCAUCGGUGAUGGGUUGCAGUAGACCGUAGGGGCCUACAAUGUUGGGUUCCUUGCGGAGUUGUAUGUAGCCUAAGACUUUUCGUUCGACUAGUGUGAGGAAUGCUACGGCGAGUAGGAUUGGGACAAUUAGGAGGAGGACGUUAAUUAUGAACAUGCUGUUAGGGAGAAGAGUUGAACCUCUGGUUAUAAAGGUUUAAGUUUUAUGCAAUUGCCGGGCUCUGCCACCCUAACGAGCCCUGUUCCAGGGCAAUGGGGGGUACAAAUUAGUUAGAUUUAGAUUAUAUCAUCUAUUAGUUUGAGGGCGCUUCUUGCAAAGUGGGCCCUAGUUUUCUUGUCCUUUCGUACUGGGAAAAGUGUAGAUAGAUAGAAACCAACCUGGAUUACUCCGGUCUGAACUCAGAUCACGUAAGACUUUAAUCGUUGAACAAACGAACCCUUAAUAGCGGUUGCACCAUUAGGAUGUCUUGAUCCAACAUCGAGGUCGUAAACCCUAAUUGUCGAUAUGGACUCUGGAAUAGGAUUGCACUGUUAUCCCUAGGGUUAGGUUUGUAUGUUAUUUUUUGUGAAUCAGUUAAUUAAAGUUCCAUAGGGUCUUCUUGUCUUAUUUAGUUAUUCCCGCCUCUUCACGGGAAGGUCAAUUUCACUGAUUGGAAGUAAGAGACAGUGAAACCUUGUGUGGCCGUUCAUACAAGUCCCUGUUUAGGGAACAAGUGAUUAUGCUACCUUUGCACAGUUAGGAUACCACGGCCGUUUAAACAGACGUCACUGGGCAGGCAGUGCCUCUAAUACUAGGAAUGCUAGAGGUGAUGUUUUUGGUAAACAGGCGGGGUUUGUGUUUGCCGAGUUCCUUUUACUUCUUUUAAUCUUUCCUUAUGGGUGCAUACCUGUGUUGGGUUAACAAUAGUUUUGAUAGGUCGUUGGUUUUUGGGUUGUGUCUAUCUUGUUGUUAACUAUCAGUGAGUAUUCGUUCUGAUAUAAGCUUAUGCAAGGAGAAAUAAUUCUUGUUACUCAUAUUAACAUUAUUGCUUCUAUAUAUCGAUAGAAUAGUCCAGUAUAAGAUUAGGAGUUAGUUUGGGUUUAUUGCUGGAAUUAAGAUAAAUAUGUCGUCGAGCUUGAACGCUUUCUUAAUUGAUGGCUGCUUUUAAGCCAACUAUGGGUAUAUCUUAUUCUUACUCUCUAAUGAAGGUUGUAUCCUGUAUCUAAAGAGCUGUACCUUUUUAGAUUAUAAUUUAAAUUUACAUUAGAAUUCAGUGGUUUUUAGGUAAAUUUAAAUUUGAACUGAAAUUCUGUUUCUGGACAACCAUCUAUCACCAGGCUCGUUAGGCUUUUCACCUCUACCUAUAAAUCUUCUCACUAUUUUGCGACAUAGAUGAGUUGGUUCUUUGCAACUGUUCAUAGGUAGCUCGUCUGGUUUCGGGGUAUUUAGCUUAAGUUCUCUUUGCUAAAUUUGUUCUAGUUAAAUCAUUAUGCAAAAGGUAAAAGGGGUAAGCUUUGCUGUUUGGUACUUUUAAUGUGUCUUUCAUCGUUCCCUUAUGGUACUCUCUCUAUAGCGCCAAGUUAAAAUUUCUAUCUCCUAUUCUUUAAUGGUUUGGUGAAUGUUUUAGUUGAGUGACUAAAAGUGGUUAAGUUGAAUAUUGUUUGGGCUAGCUUUAGUUCAAAGUGUUCAUUCUGUAUGAAAUCUUCUAGGUGUAAGCUGGAUGCUUUGUUUAAGCUACACUUUGGUUAUCCAAGUACACCUUCCUGUAUACUUACCUUGUUACGACUUGUCUCCUUUCAUAUGUUUGAAUCACGGUUUUAUGUUAUGUUGUGAUUUGUGAUAUUUAAGGAGGGUGACGGGCGGUGUGUGCGUGCUUCAUGGCCUGAUUCAAUUAAGCUCUCUAUUCUUAAUUUACUGCUAAAUCCUCCUUUGGUCUCUAGUUUCAUAGAGACUUUCGUUUGGGUUGAGUUCUUAAGGUAGAAAAUGUAGCCCAUUUCUCUCCAUACCAUGGGCUACACCUUGACCUAACGUUUUUAUGUUGGAUACUUGUGCUUACUUCGGUGCCUUUUUAGGGUUUGCUGAAGAUGGCGGUAUAUAGGCUGUAUUAGCAAGGGUUGGUAGGGGUUAUCAGGGUUUAUCGAUUACGGAACAGGCUCCUCUAGAGGGAUGUAAAGCACCGCCAAGUCCUUUGAGUUUUAGGCUGUUGCUAGUAGUACUCUGGUGAAUAGGUUUGUUGUGAUGGGCUAUUUUGGUUUAGGGCUAAGCAUAGUGGGGUAUCUAAUCCCAGUUUGGGUCUUAGCUAUCGUGUGGUCAGAGGUAGUAAAGUCACUUUCGUAGUCUAUUUUACUUUGGUUGUAGCUUUUUACAGUUUAACUGGGUUUUAACCUUAUUUCUGGUGUUAGUCUUUGACACGCUUUACGUCGGGGCUUUAUUAAUUUGGGUUAAUCGUAUGACCGCGGUGGCUGGCACGAAAUUUACCAACCCUAUUUAAUAUAACUUAGUCAAACUUUCGUUCAUAGCUUAAUUUUUAUCACUGCUGUGUCCCGUGGGGGUGUGGCUGAGCAAGGUGUUAUGAGCUACUUCUUAGUGCGCUUGAUACCUGCUCCUUUUGAUCGUCAGGGCGCGAUUUAGAGGGCAUUCUCACUGGGGUGCGGAUACUUGCAUGUGUAAUUUUAUUAACAACUAAUAAAAAGGCUAGGACCAAACCUAUGUGUUAAUGGAGUAGUAAUACUCAUCUAGGCAUUUUCAGUGCCUUGCUUUG
ensembl:lncRNA